rnacentral:rRNA from 1 species
AACGCGAAGAACCUUACCUGGUCUUGACAUAGUAAGAACUUUCCAGAGAUGGAUUGGUGCCUUCGGGAACUUACAUACAGGUGCUGCAUGGCUGUCGUCAGCUCGUGUUGUGAAAUGUUGGGUUAAGUCCCGCAACGAGCGCAACCCUUAUCCUUUGUUGCCAGCGGUCCGGCCGGGAACUCAAAGGAGACUGCCAGUGAUAAACUGGAGGAAGGUGGGGAUGACGUCAAGUCAUCAUGGCCCUUACGACCAGGGCUACACACGUGCUACAAUGGCGCAUACAAAGAGAAGCGACCUCGCGAGAGCAAGCGGACCUCAUAAAGUGCGUCGUAGUCCGGAUUGGAGUCUGCAACUCGACUCCAUGAAGUCGGAAUCGCUAGUAAUCGUGGAUCAGAAUGCCACGGUGAA